CCUACGGGUGGCAGCAGUGGGGAAUAUUGCACAAUGGGGGAAACCCUGAUGCAGCGACGCCGCGUGAGUGAAGAAGUAAUUCGUUAUGUAAAGCUCUAUCAGCAGGGAAGAGAAUGACGGUUCCUGAGCUAGAAACCCCCGCCAACUACGUGCCAGCAGCCGCGGUAAUACGUAGGGGGCAAGCGUUAUUCGGAUUUACUGGGGGUAAAGGGAGCGUAGACGGCAGUGCAAGUCUGAAGUGAAAGGCGGGGGCGCAACCCCCGGACUGCUCUGGAGACUGUACGGCUGGAGUGCAGGAGAGGUAAGUGGAAUUCCUAGUGUAGCGGUGAAAUGCGUAGAUAUUAGGAGGAACACCAGUGGCGAAGGCGGCUUACUGGACUGUAACUGACGUUGAGGCUCGAAAGCGUGGGGAGCAAACAGGAUUAGAUACCCGAGUAGUC
rnacentral:rRNA from 1 species